UAUCAACGGCACCGAACCUGCGAUGGCUCCGGCUCCGGCUCUCGCCUCUCUCUCUCUCGCUCUCUCUCGCUCUCUCUGAACCCUUGACUCCCCACCGUCAAUCUCUCUGAGGGCCCGAGCCGCGCCCUCCUCUCUCUCUCUCUCUCUCUCUCUCUCUCUCUCUCUCUCUCUCUCAAAGCUCAUCCAGCGCUUCUCUCUAUGCGAUCCCAAAUCUGCUCAGCGAGGGUAGUUUGAAACCCUUUUCCGCUCAUCUGGAUUCGAUCUGCUCCUCUUUUCGUGAGGAAUCUUCGAAAUUUUUUGGGAAAUUUUACUCGCAGUUCCACUGGGAAGUGUAACCACUAGUAUAUGGACAUGCAAUGCCAACAUAAGGCCCAAUGGCUGAUGAUAUUUGGCCUCUUCUUCCUCUUGAUCUUAACCAGCAAUUGGGCAUGUCAUGCCGCUGCUUUGUCUUCUGACCAGGUGAGCAAUGUGGGAAGCGAUGAUGGGAGAAUCUUUGGCUGUUUGCCAUGCUCUCAAGCUUACCUUGCCAGCUCUUAUUAUGAUCACUGCAAUAGCCUGCUUGAAUCAGAUUUUCAUGAUUUUUUAGCUUAAGGAUUUGGUACAGGUGACUUGUGUAGAGGGCUGGCUAAUGAUAUGAAUGUGCUUGGACUUGCAGACCUGCACCGACAUCUGAGCGGUGAAGGUUCUCAUCGACAUGUGGUUUCCGCCUUGAGAUUUGUUAACCGAUCAGAUGCUAUGAAGUGGCUUGAUUCUCACUCUUGUGAAGCAGUGAUUAUUGAAAGGCUUCCAAUUGGAGCCUUUGCAGAUCCAUUUGAGCUACAACAUCUCGUCCACUGUAGAGGUGGAAAGCUUAUCAUAUUCUAGCAGCAAAGCCAAUUGAUUUACUCCUUUGUUAAGUGUUGAUAAGUUCCCUCCCCUGCAGCCUUUCUUGAUGCUAUCGUUUUUGGAGACUCGAAUCUGGAAUUACCCUCUGCUCUGUCCAACAAAUCAAUUGAUAUUAGGAAUGACUUGUUGGAGAACUAUGAAACUGUUAUUCAGUUACCGCUGCAUGCUAGAUAUCCGAUGCAUAUAAUGUACAUAUCAAACUUAAACUAUUCAAUGUUUGUUUCAUUCGACAACUAGGAAGCUCUCAAUGCCAAAUGUGUCGAGUUUUUUUCGUCAUCAUUUCGUGUACAACUAAUGAACUUCUUAACUUAAUUGUAUGCAUAUAGUUGGAGAAUAUGAUAUUUCUUCUGUAUAAAAGGCAUGCUUAUUAUUGUUCUGAUGGUGUGUUGUAUUGAAUUUUCAAUACUAGUCGGAGAAUUGUCUCAAGUCCAAUCAUUGAUAUAUUGUAAUAUGGGCUACUAUUGAAGCCUUGGGUUGUAAGAUGCCAAAGGAUAACAGAAACUAGAAAAAUUAUACAUGAAGUCUAUUAUCAACCUUCAUGCAAUGGUUAGCAUCAUAAAGAUGAAGCAAAAAAUUUUGUUUCAAUCAAAUAUAUAAAAUGUGAUCAGAGGCCCAUGGGAAGGGUGGUUGGGAGUGUAUGUCCU